AUGUAAUAAGAAAACUUUCAUGACCCUUACCAGUAAACUGUGUCUAAAUGGAAAGUUCUAGAAACUUAUACUUGCUGUUGUGAAUAUCUGUUACAAACCUAGAUGUUCUAGACAAGUUCAGUUGAUUUGAUUGUACUGUGAUCUUUGGCUGCUAUUGGAGAGUAGCAAAUGGAGCAUGAAGCAAACAGAACUCUAGGAGGGAAAGCACAUGGAGAUGGCUAUGUCUGUGAUGCAGGGAAAGCUGUUUGGGGAGCAUGUGAGAAAAGAAAGGGGGAUUUUGAUGUGUUAUUAAGGAGAAGGCACUUGUGUGAAAAAAACUGUGUUGAUUUCUUCUGUCAUGUGCUUGAGAAGAUUUAAGACCUGCUAUAUCUGAUUUCCAGGUGAUAAAAGAAGCUGUGGAGAUGCAUUGUGUUUGUUUGCUGACAGCUGCUUGACAGUUUUUGACAAAUGCCAAAUUUUGAAAGGUGACCACUGGAAUUCUACUUUCUGAAAAGUAUCCUUUCACCUUCUGGCUCCUAGAGAAUUCAGAGGAAUACUACUCUCUGGGAAGAUUUUCAGAGUUACUUGUAUUUGUGCCUCAAUCUUAUGGUUCAUAGUUGAGGAAACCAAGUAGAAAUCAUGUGUUUCACUGGAAGCGUCUACCCAAUGUUUAGUGUAAAAGCAUCCUGCUACAAAAUUUCUUAGACCAACAGUCUUCUCCAUACAACAGUUUCUGCUUUGCCUUCAUGUAUGCUAGAAAACAUACAUUAAUCCUCGAGGCACAUCAGAAGGUUACACCAGAAUAACUGAGGGAAGUCAACUGAAGAGUUAUGCAUAUUAUCUUGGUACAUUUUAUAGAAAAAGAAUAAUGUGCGGAACACUUUGCUAUAUUGUCAUCUAAGUGGAAAAGAAAUAAAUUUAACAUACAUAUCUGGGUCCUACA
rnacentral:lncRNA from 1 species